GCUGGAAAGCUUGGCGAUACAGGGUGAUAGCCCCGUAACCGACGCUUCAUCGAGCGUGAAAUCGAGUAGGGCGGGACACGUGAUAUCCUGUCUGAAUAUGGGGGGACCAUCCUCCAAGGCUAAAUACUCCUGACUGACCGAUAGUGAACCAGUACCGUGAGGGAAAGGCGAAAAGAACCCCUGUGAGGGGAGUGAAAUAGAACCUGAAACCGUGUACGUACAAGCAGUAGGAGCACCUUCGUGGUGUGACUGCGUACCUUUUGUAUAAUGGGUCAGCGACUUAUAUUCAGUGGCAAGGUUAACCGUAUAGGGGAGCCGUAGCGAAAGCGAGUCUUAACUGGGCGCUCAGUCUCUGGAUAUAGACCCGAAACCGGGUGAUCUAGCCAUGGGCAGGUUGAAGGUUGAGUAACAUCAACUGGAGGACCGAACCGACUAAUGUUGAAAAAUUAGCGGAUGACUUGUGGCUA
rnacentral:rRNA from 1 species